rnacentral:rRNA from 1 species
GGUUAAGCGACUAAGCGUACACGGUGGAUGCCCUGGCAGUCAGAGGCGAUGAAGGACGUGCUAAUCUGCGAAAAGCGCCGGCGAGGUGAUAUGAACCUUUGACCCGGCGAUGUCCGAAUGGGGAAACCCAGUGCAAUUCGUUGCACUAUCGUUAACUGAAUACAUAGGUUAACGAGGCGAACCGGGGGAACUGAAACAUCUAAGUACCCCGAGGAAAAGAAAUCAACCGAGAUUCCCCCAGUAGCGGCGAGCGAACGGGGAGCAGCCCAGAGUCUGAAUCAGCUUGUGUGUUAGUGGAAGCGUCUGGAAAGUCGCACGGUACAGGGUGACAGUCCCGUACACGAAAGCACACAGGUUGUGAACUCGAAGAGUAGGGCGGGACACGUGGUAUCCUGUCUGAAUAUGGGGGGACCAUCCUCCAAGGCUAAAUACUCCUGACUGACCGAUAGUGAACCAGUACCGUGAGGGAAAGGCGAAAAGAACCCCGGCGAGGGGAGUGAAAAAGAACCUGAAACCGUGUACGUACAAGCAGUGGGAGCACCCUAGUGGUGUGACUGCGUACCUUUUGUAUAAUGGGUCAGCGACUUAUAUUCUGUAGCAAGGUUAACCGUAUAGGGGAGCCGAAGGGAAACCGAGUCUUAACUGGGCGUUAAGUUGCAGGGUAUAGACCCGAAACCCGGUGAUCUAGCCAUGGGCAGGUUGAAGGUUGGGUAACACUAACUGGAGGACCGAACCGACUAAUGUUGAAAAAUUAGCGGAUGACUUGUGGCUGGGGGUGAAAGGCCAAUCAAACCGGGAGAUAGCUGGUUCUCCCCGAAAGCUAUUUAGGUAGCGCCUCGUGAACUCAUCUUCGGGGGUAGAGCACUGUUUCGGCUAGGGGGCCAUCCCGGCUUACCAACCCGAUGCAAACUACGAAUACCGAAGAAUGUUAUCACGGGAGACACACGGCGGGUGCUAACGUCCGUCGUGAAGAGGGAAACAACCCAGACCGCCAGCUAAGGUCCCAAAGUCAUGGUUAAGUGGGAAACGAUGUGGGAAGGCACAGACAGCCAGGAUGUUGGCUUAGAAGCAGCCAUCAUUUAAAGAAAGCGUAAUAGCUCACUGGUCGAGUCGGCCUGCGCGGAAGAUGUAACGGGGCUAAACCAUGCACCGAAGCUGCGGCAGCGACGCUUAUGCGUUGUUGGGUAGGGGAGCGUUCUGUAAGCCGUUGAAGGUGUCCUGUGAGGGGUGCUGGAGGUAUCAGAAGUGCGAAUGCUGACAUAAGUAACGAUAAAGCGGGUGAAAAGCCCGCUCGCCGGAAGACCAAGGGUUCCUGUCCAACGUUAAUCGGGGCAGGGUGAGUCGACCCCUAAGGCGAGGCCGAAAGGCGUAGUCGAUGGGAAACAGGUUAAUAUUCCUGUACUUGGUGUUACUGCGAAGGGGGGACGGAGAAGGCUAUGUUAGCCGGGCGACGGUUGUCCCGGUUUAAGCAUGUAGGCGGAGGUUCCAGGUAAAUCCGGUACCUUUUUAACGCUGAGGUGUGAUGACGAGGCACUACGGUGCUGAAGUAACAAAUGCCCUGCUUCCAGGAAAAGCCUCUAAGCAUCAGGUAACAUCAAAUCGUACCCCAAACCGACACAGGUGGUCAGGUAGAGAAUACCAAGGCGCUUGAGAGAACUCGGGUGAAGGAACUAGGCAAAAUGGUGCCGUAACUUCGGGAGAAGGCACGCUGAUAUGUAGGUGAAGCCCCUGCGGGUGGAGCUGAAAUCAGUCGAAGAUACCAGCUGGCUGCAACUGUUUAUUAAAAACACAGCACUGUGCAAACACGAAAGUGGACGUAUACGGUGUGACGCCUGCCCGGUGCCGGAAGGUUAAUUGAUGGGGUUAGCGGCAACGCGAAGCUCUUGAUCGAAGCCCCGGUAAACGGCGGCCGUAACUAUAACGGUCCUAAGGUAGCGAAAUUCCUUGUCGGGUAAGUUCCGACCUGCACGAAUGGCGUAAUGAUGGCCAGGCUGUCUCCACCCGAGACUCAGUGAAAUUGAACUCGCUGUGAAGAUGCAGUGUACCCGCGGCAAGACGGAAAGACCCCGUGAACCUUUACUAUAGCUUGACACUGAACACUGGUCCUUGAUGUGUAGGAUAGGUGGGAGGCUUUGAAGCGUGGACGCCAGUCUGCGUGGAGCCAACCUUGAAAUACCACCCUUUAAUGGCUGGUGUUCUAACGUAGACCCGUGAUCCGGGUUGCGGACAGUGUCUGGUGGGUAGUUUGACUGGGGCGGUCUCCUCCCAAAGAGUAACGGAGGAGCACGAAGGUUAGCUAAUCCUGGUCGGACAUCAGGAGGUUAGUGCAAUGGCAUAAGCUAGCUUGACUGCGAGAGUGACGGCUCGAGCAGGUGCGAAAGCAGGUCAUAGUGAUCCGGUGGUUCUGAAUGGAAGGGCCAUCGCUCAACGGAUAAAAGGUACUCCGGGGAUAACAGGCUGAUACCGCCCAAGAGUUCAUAUCGACGGCGGUGUUUGGCACCUCGAUGUCGGCUCAUCACAUCCUGGGGCUGAAGUAGGUCCCAAGGGUAUGGCUGUUCGCCAUUUAAAGUGGUACGCGAGCUGGGUUUAGAACGUCGUGAGACAGUUCGGUCCCUAUCUGCCGUGGGCGCUGGAGAAUUGAGGGGGGCUGCUCCUAGUACGAGAGGACCGGAGUGGACGCAUCACUGGUGUUCGGGUUGUCAUGCCAAUGGCACUGCCCGGUAGCUAAAUGCGGAAAAGAUAAGUGCUGAAAGCAUCUAAGCACGAAACUUGCCCCGAGAUGAGUUCUCCCUGACCCUUUAAGGGUCCUGAAGGAACGUUGAAGACUACGACGUUGAUAGGUCGGGUGUGUAAGCGCAGCGAUGCGUUGAGCUAACCGAUACUAAUGAACCGUGAGGCUUAACCUU